UACGAAGGGGGCUAGCGUUGUUCGGAAUUACUGGGCGUAAAGCGCACGUAGGCGGAUAUUUAAGUCAGGGGUGAAAUCCCGGGGCUCAACCCCGGAACUGCCUUUGAUACUGGGUAUCUCGAGUCCGGAAGAGGUGAGUGGAAUUGCGAGUGUAGAGGUGAAAUUCGUAGAUAUUCGCAGGAACACCAGUGGCGAAGGCGGCUCACUGGUCCGGUACUGACGCUGAGGUGCGAAAGCGUGGGGAGCAAACGGG
rnacentral:rRNA from 1 species